rnacentral:tRNA from 1 species
GCUGUAACUUCCAAAUGGUCCCAGCUGGCUGCAGCGAGGGUCUGUGUAACUGACAAAAUGCAUCUGGCUUCAAGGCACAGAUCAAGUACAGAGGCAGGCUCUCUAUGUCCCUGGAGAAUCGGGUUGAGACUCAGCACAGCUGACUUUAUAAAUGAGUGGGAAAGGAACCCAGAACAGGACAAACUGUGGGGGAGGCAAAAGCCUGUCUGUCUUUACAGAUGAAAUUUUCUUGUUCUCUUCUGCCCUGAAUGUUUCCCAAGCAUGAAGGCAACAAGCUUAUUAAUUUUGGUGGGAUUUAUGACAGAGUUUCAAAUCUUCUCAAGGUAAGAAUAUUUUUGAUCUUGUAUGGAAAUUUAAAAUAUGUAAAACAUAGUUUAGAAUGGUUUAACUUUUUUUUUUUUUUGGAGCUGGGGACCGAACCCAGGGCCUUGCGCUUGCUAGGCGAGCGCUCUACCACUGAGCUAAAUCCCCAACCCCUCAUGGUUUAACUUUUAUAAGCAGAUUAGAUGUGUUUGUACACCUCAUCUUUCCACGUUUUCAGAAAAUAUUAUAAUUAGGCCUUAUUCCUAUUUUAUUUUUCCUUUAAAGAAGAAACAAGGGCAAACAUUCCUCAUGGUUUUUGUUCCAGCUCCAGGAUUUUACCUUCAUUCUGAGAGCUGCAGCAGAUCCAGGGUGAUAUUUGUCUUUAAAUUUAGUCCUUGCUAAACAUUUUCUGGGUUUUAAAGGUCAAAGGUACUUUACUUUUAGUUUAAAGAAAAUAGUUUUAUUGGUUCCCAAAGGCUGGAUAAAAGCCAGCAUCACUGACCUAAUAAAAGAGAUUACUCUUGCUUUAUUCUCACUGUUGGAUUGAUGGGAACAGGCUAGUUCCUUUGGUGGGACUAUUGCAAUAAGUAUCAAGACUGGUGCAAGGAACCAGGCAGCAUGUUGAGUCCACUGGCAACCAAGGUCUGAGGGUUUCUUCUGUGCAGGGUCGUGAAGGAGACAGGCGGGAAGGUUAUAGAGUAUCCAUACUAAGCCUCCAUUUUUUUUUGUGGGGGGAGACCUCUGUUUCUCCCUGGAGCUCAGGUAGGCAAGCAACAGUAAAUUCAGAACAUUGUCUAAGGGUCAAAACAUUUAGACAUUUGAUUUACUGUUCCUAUGUGUAAACACGUUACUAAGUUUCCUUUAAUGCACACUAUAGGGC